UCUUCUUUUUGAAAUAUCCGAAGCAUUAGGAGAACACAACCGGGAUGGAGGAAAAUUUAGAGUAUUUUACGGGCAGAGAAUGGACAUAAAUGACGAACACCAUGAGAGGUUCUCCAUUUUUCCCCAUAACAUUCGUCAAAAUGCCCCUCUUACCUUAUACUCUUACAGCUAAACUAAAUAAUGGAAUCAUCAUUUUCUUGAAGGUAAAAACCAACCAGGAAACAAAACAACAUGAAAAUUUCAUCUACCACACCAAAUCAAACAAUGAAACCAAUAUUUUACUUAAUCAAGUAACCAAAACAAACAUGAAAACUUAAACACUAUGAUAUUAUUUGGAGGAUGGGCAGCAACAACAAACAGAGAGAAAAAAAUAGUAACAAGAAAAGAGAGGAAGGAAGGUUAUCUCCUUUUGAGCAGUGAAUCAGAACGAUGAUAUGCCAGGGACAGACUUCGAAAUCAGAAUUUAGCUCAAAUUUUGUCAAAAUUUAAAAGAUUUCAAUGAAUUUCUUGAUUAUGUGAGAUUAGAGGAAUGCUCCCCUAGAAUCUCCA
rnacentral:lncRNA from 1 species